GACGAACCGUGCGAACGUUGUCCGGAAUUACUGGGCGUAAAGAGCUCGUAGGUGGUUUGUCGCGUUGUCCGUGAAAACUCACAGCUCAACUGUGGGCGUGCGGGCGAUACGGGCAGACUGGAGUACUGCAGGGGAGACUGGAAUUCCUGGUGUAGCGGUGGAAUGCGCAGAUAUCAGGAGGAACACCGGUGGCGAAGGCGGGUCUCUGGGCAGUAACUGACGCUGAGGAGCGAAAGCGUGGGGAGCGAACAGG
rnacentral:rRNA from 1 species